rnacentral:rRNA from 1 species
GGCGGCGUGCUUACACAUGCAGUCGAACGAACCUUCGGGUUAGUGGCGGACGGGUGAGUAACGCGUGAGAAUCUGCCCUCAGGAGGGGGAUAACGGUUGGAAACGACCGCUAAUACCCCAUAUGCCGCGAGGUGAAAUGAAUUUCGCCUGAGGAUGAGCUCGCGUCUGAUUAGCUAGUUGGUGGGGUAAGAGCCUACCAAGGCUUCGAUCAGUAGCUGGUCUGAGAGGAUGAUCAGCCACACUGGGACUGAGACACGGCCCAGACUCCUACGGGAGGCAGCAGUGGGGAAUUUUCCGCAAUGGGCGAAAGCCUGACGGAGCAACGCCGCGUGAGGGAUGAAGGCCUCUGGGCUGUAAACCUCUUUUAUCAAGGAAGAAGAUCUGACGGUACUUGAUGAAUAAGCCACGGCUAAUUUCKUGCCAGCAGCCGCGGUAAUACGGGAGUGGCAAGCGUUAUCCGGAAUUAUUGGGCGUAAAGCGUCCGCAGGCGGUCUUACAAGUCUGUCGUUAAAGCGUGGAGCUUAACUCCAUUUCGGCGAUGGAAACUGUAAGACUAGAGUGUGGUAGGGGCAGAGGGAAUUCCCGGUGUAGCGGUGAAAUGCGUAGAUAUCGGGAAGAACACCAGUGGCGAAGGCGCUCUGCUGGGCCAUAACUGACGCUCAUGGACGAAAGCUAGGGGAGCGAAAGGGAUUAGAUACCCCUGUAGUCCUAGCCGUAAACGAUGAACACUAGGUGUCGGGGGAAUCGACCCCCUCGGUGUCGUAGCCAACGCGUUAAGUGUUCCGCCUGGGGAGUACGCACGCAAGUGUGAAACUCAAAGGAAUUGACGGGGGCCCGCACAAGCGGUGGAGUAUGUGGUUUAAUUCGAUGCAACGCGAAGAACCUUACCAGGGUUUGACAUCCUGCGAAUCCCUUGGAAACUUGGGAGUGCCUUCGGGAGCGCAGUGACAGGUGGUGCAUGGCUGUCGUCAGCUCGUGUCGUGAGAUGUUGGGUUAAGUCCCGCAACGAGCGCAACCCACGUCUUUAGUUGCCAGCAUUUAGUUGGGCACUCUAGAGAGACCGCCGGUGAUAAACCGGAGGAAGGUGUGGAUGACGUCAAGUCAUCAUGCCCCUUACAUCCUGGGCUACACACGUACUACAAUGCUACGGACAAAGGGCAGCAAACUCGCGAGAGCUAGCCAAUCCCAUAAACCGUGGCUCAGUUCAGAUCGUAGGCUGCAACUCGCCUACGUGAAGGAGGAAUCGCUAGUAAUCGCAGGUCAGCAUACUGCGGUGAAUACGUUCCCGGGCCUUGUACACACCGCCCGUCACACCAUGGAAGUUGGCCACGCCCGAAGUCGUUACUCCAACCCUUGUGGAGGAGGAUGCCGAAGGUGGGGCUGAUGACUGGGGUGAAGUCGUAACAAGGUAGCCGUACCGGAAGGUGCGGCUGGAUCACCUCCU